UACGGGGGGAGCAAGCGUUGUUCGGAUUCAUUGGGCGUAAAGGGUGCGUAGGUGGCAUGGUAAGUCGGGUGUGAAAUCCCGGGGCUCAACCCCGGAACUGCACUCGAUACUGCCGUGCUCGAGUACUGGAGAGGAGACUGGAAUUUACGGUGUAGCAGUGAAAUGCGUAGAUAUCGUAAGGAAGACCGGUGGCGAAGGCUAGUCUCUGGACAGUUACUGACACUGAGGCACGAAGGCCAGGGGAGCAAACGGG
rnacentral:rRNA from 1 species